rnacentral:rRNA from 1 species
AGAUUAGCUAGUUGGUGGGGUAAAGGCCUACCAAGGCGACGAUCUCUAGCUGUUCUGAGAGGAAGAUCAGCCACACUGGGACUGAGACACGGCCCAGACUCCUACGGGAGGCAGCAGUGGGGAAUAUUGCACAAUGGGGGGAACCCUGAUGCAGCCAUGCCGCGUGUGUGAAGAAGGCCUUCGGGUUGUAAAGCACUUUCAGACGUGAGGAAGGGUUGAUGGUUAAUACCCGUCAACAUUGACGUUAGCGUCAGAAGAAGCACCGGCUAACUCCGUGCCAGCAGCCGCGGUAAUACGGAGGGUGCGAGCGUUAAUCGGAAUUACUGGGCGUAAAGCGCACGCAGGCGGUUUGUUAAGCUAGAAGUGAAAGCCCCGGGCUCAAUCUGGGAAGGCCUUUUAGAACUGGCAAGCUAGAGUCUUGGAGAGGGGAGUGGAAUUCCAGGUGUAGCGGUGAAAUGCGUAGAUAUCUGGAGGAACAUCAGUGGCGAAGGCGGCUCCCUGGCCAAAGACUGACGCUCAUGUGCGAAAGUGUGGGUAGCGAACAGGAUUAGAUACCCUGGUAGUCCACACCGUAAACGCUGUAUAGUAGCUGUGUGUGAAUUUAAUUUGUGCGUAGCGAAGCAAACGCGCUAAGUAGAC